UAAGGUAACAACAAGAGUAGGACAUCGAUCGACGAGAGAGGGAGCACCUUGGUUAUACCGAUGGUUCGAACCCGUAGAGCGGGCUCGUCGACGCCGUUAAGAAACGGAUAACUAAAAGGUACAACGUGGCAGACUAAGGGCCAUAGUCCACCCUGACCUUGAACAUAGUCGUCCCUCGCCCUCCGCGAAGACAGGAAGUUCCGCCCGGAAGACCUGGGACGACCGGCAGAGAGGAGAACCGUACCGGUUCUAACGACAGUCACCCUCCCUCAGGCCACGUCAUUGUUUUGUCCGGUACAACAUUUCGAGCUAGAGCCGUUGUGGAUGCGCCUACCGAUGAUGCUUCAGCUGACCAGGUUUUCGGAUUCCAACAGUUCUCUACUCCACUCGGGGAGAAACCGACGCAAUGUUGUUAACUCCAUAGAACUAGACUCACCCUUACUGAAGUUACCGUGGUCGUAUGGACACAAACACCCGAGAGACCUCUUUGAUUCCAUAGAGUUGGAGAGAAGAAGUACAAAGCCACCCUCUUAUGGAAGGGUUGAGCCAUUAGAGAGUUUAAACGUUAUAGAACUACAACCACCCUUAAUAAAGAAGACACUACUACUCCCAUUAGUUGUACUCGGCAUGUGAGACCUAAAAUGUACCAACCGUGCAGAGAGUAACAACUCGGUAGAACUGAACUCACCUCACCUGGAGUCAGGAAAAGUCCUGAUCCAAGUGUACCAAUUGUACGAAAGAAUAGACUUUCACGAAGCGAAUCAUAUAACAUCCGAAUGGUCGUGUCACAGACGAUGAAAUUUUAGUUUAGAGUGUGUAGAGGUUCAGGAACUAGAUAGUCUUUUGAGCAAAUUGAGUAGUAAUCUCGUUUCAACCAAAACCCUACAGUGUUCAGAAUUCCUCGACGUGGAUAGGCUAACGAUGACCGUACCUAGAUAAGGACCUCUUGACCCUUUGUACUGUAGGGAAGUUCAUUGUCUAAAAUCACCGUUAUUACUAGAACACCCAAACUAUGGCGCGUUGAAUCUUUUAAACACGUUAGACUUUCACAACUUAAAACUACUUUAGUUGUAAUUACGUUCGUAUCCCCUUAAUUACCUAGCUAACGGUUCAACGAGUACCUCAUGUUAUGUUCAUAACAGUUACGCACUGUGUUUAAACUGGCCUUUUGAUGGUUAUACCUAGCCCUUGUACUGAUCAGAGUCACAAGAACUGCGGUUACCAUUGUACUAUUGACCAUGAUAUGGUGAACCUCAACCUAGUGAACCAUUGAACUGUCACAACCUAGAGACGAUGUUAUUUGAGAUACCACACGAACACUUCCUCGUAAAAAGUCCGAAUGACUUAAAUCUCAAAGACCUGAACAGUGUGUUGAAGAACCUAUAAAAUAAUGCGUUUUAGGUAAAACGACGAAAUGUUGUCAACUCCAUAGAACUAGACUCACCCUUAAUGAAAUCACCACGUUCGUACGGUAACAGGCACCCGUGAGACCUCUUGGAUUCCAUAGAGUUGGAGAGCAACAGUCCAAAGCCACCCUCUUAUGGAAGGGUUGAGCAACCUCGUGAUCCAUUGAACUGUCUCAACCUAGAGUCGAUGUUAUUUGAUUUACCACACGAGUACUUCCUCGUAAAAAGUCCGAAUGAUUUAAAUCUCAUAGACCUGAACAGUAUGUUGAGGAACUUUUACCUAUAACUUGGUUUAAAACAAGGAGGCAAAUUUGACUUCAUGUAUCUAAAUGUCAGUACGGAUCACCCCGGGGUAAAAGGUCUAACCGAACCUACCGUCUGGCUGUAACUAUGAGAACCAGAACGUUUAUGUUCAAACCUACUACAAUAAGGACUAACCAAAACCCACUGUAAAAGGGCCCGAAGUCAGAACCUACGGAGUCCUUUGUAUGAUGCACCAAGUAAUGGCCGUCUAGAUGUUGUGUACAGUCGUCUAAAAUAUGAAGACCCUAGGUUAUUCGAGAGUCCAGUUCAAGGUGCCGAUGGAUAUUUAUAUAGUUAGAACCAAGACAGGAGUUUGUGAAAGAGUCCCAGUAACGGUAGUCUCGAUUUUCGGGGUGACGAAGUCCGUAACGAAGACGUUUUAUUAGUUUAACGUCCGUGGUAAGGUAGUAGAUACACGGUUAACUGACCAGACUUCGCCUACCUGGAUAGUUCUUUAUUAAAUUGUCCUCUACAAUACGUCACAACCUUCCUCAGUCCGAAUUUGAGACGUCUUGUUAAACCAAGACAGUACGAAUCAGAUAGGAACUCGUUGUUAUUAGAGAGUCCACUUAAGGGAUUUAAAGAAGCCUCACGGAGUGUUAACUUCAAGGAACUAGAAAGUAUGUUAUCGAAGAAACCUUGUAACGGUUCCACCAAUCUUCUCUUUUACGGUGUCAACGUUUAGAACUCCCACUCUAGUUUGUUCAAAUCACCGGUAUAAGGAUUCUUGGAAUGAACGGAACUUUUAGAAGUAAUAAACCUGAACCGGGUAUUAUUAUAUAGUCCUUGGUAUGGUACCAGCAAUAGUUUGAACUUUCGUUACUCCCAGUAUUCAGCAUUAUGCCACAGGCAAUUAAACCUCCUCUCAUAUAGUUAUUAGUGUUUUCCGGUUUGUGCACUGAUGUGGAAACUUCAGAUGUUGGAUCACCACUUAGAACUAGACAGUACAUUGUUAAAUUGUCCUGUCUAAGGACUACUCUAUUCAAACGACUAACCCGAGUGGUCGGAUUUGAAUAGUUCAUUAGUCGACUGGCCUUCCUAGGGAUUAGUUUAACCACUAGAUUUCGUCAACCUCAGGCACCUGGAUAGGAUGUUGCUCAAGAGACCACUUUAGGGCGGUCCGAACAGCCGAGAUUGGAUAGACUCGGUGAACUUGGAUAGUAUGUUGUUGAAUAGUCCGCGCUAUGGUAGACCGGGCGUCGACCUCCGAGAACUGUUGGUCUAGCCGUAGAUGUAGCCGUUGGGGCCAGAAACACCGAUGGGAGACAGGUUCUUGACGAGAUGAUCAUGAUGACUACGUCUCGUUUCACAGUUGGAACUUCUUCGUCUACUAUAGCGCAUAGAGAUGGAACCCUACCCGUAUCCUAAAAACGAACCGGAAACCCACCACAAAACGUGGUACAAUGACCCCUCUUGGACCCGCUAACGAAUGAAAGUCUAGUAACUGUUUGAAAUACUACUACGAAUAGAUACCCACCGAUAAUGAACCCGAGUGGACUACUUCUUGGUGCUGCUGCUGCGCCGCACU
rnacentral:rRNA from 1 species